GGAAGGGCAUGGGAAUUGGAAGCAGAACACUAAACCUGCCAUGCACAUGUGCCUAUGUUCAUUGUCUUUCAGGAGUAAGAAUCACCCAGACACUGCUCAAAGACGGGGGCACCUCUUUGUCCUCUCCAAAUUCAAGGAAUGAAAACCAACUUAGGAACACAGGGAAAGAGUAUUUGAAUGCAUGCAGGAAUUCACCAAGCUUGCUUCCAAAGUGGCAUAUUGCACUACUCCAUUCAAUGGUUUUCAGUUUUUCACACA
rnacentral:lncRNA from 1 species